UUAUUACUCCCUGUGAUCCAAAUUAAUUGUCGCAGAUUUGUCUAGAUACGCAUGUACCUACACACUAAAACGCGUCUAGAUACGCAUGUGUAUCUAGACAAAGUUGUGACAAUUAAUUUGGGUUGGAGGGAGUAGUAC
rfam:Brachypodium distachyon strain Bd21 chromosome 5, whole genome shotgun sequence.